rfam:Enterococcus sp. 9E7_DIV0242 scaffold00003, whole genome shotgun sequence.
UUUUCAUUGGUUUUUAUCAGGUUCCUGUUCUGAUAAAAGUUAGUGAAAAGAUCUUCACUAACGUAGCGACUCGCAGUGAUUUAACACCGAGGCGGUACGUUUUUUU